rnacentral:rRNA from 1 species
GACGAACGCUGGCGGCGUGCUUAACACAUGCAAGUCGAACGGAGUGGCGAACGGGUGAGUAACACGUGGGUGAUCUGCCUUGCACUUCGGGAUAAGCUUGGGCAACUGGGUCUAAUACCGGAUAGUGCAAGAUGAGCUCGCGGCCUAUCAGCUUGUUGGUGGGGUAAUGGCCUACCAAGGCGUCGACGGGUAGCCGGCCUGAGAGGGUGUACGGCCACAGUGGGACUGAGAGACGGCGCAGAGGGCUACGGGAGGCAGCAGUGGGGAAUAUUGCACAAUGGGCGGAAGCCUGAUGCAGCGACGCCGCGUGGGUGAUGAAGGCUUUCUGGGUGUAAACUCCUUUCGACAGGGACGCGGUACCUGCAGAAGAAGCACCGGCUAACUACGUGCCAGCAGCCGCGGUAAUUC